GUAUCCUAGAAUAUCAUACCAUAAUAACAUACAUCUAAAAUAUAUAAAUUAUAAAUAAACACAGCAAGAUUCAGGGGGAAUUUUUUUUUAUUCAGUUUAGACAAAUUUACUGAUAGAUAAGAGUGAAGGAGAAACAGCACCUGAACAGAAACUCUUACUGAUGUACUGAGUACUACCAAGAACUGUUAACGAUGUCACCAAAACAAACUAUACUAAAAAAAUCAUUAGUUUCAUCCUAUAUUCUGAGAACCGUGAUGUCAUGAGGAAACUCAGUGAUGUCAUAAGGAGUAUUAGUGAUGUCACAAAGAGAGUCUAUAAUCUGAGAAUCAGCGAUGCCAUGAUGAGAAUGAGUGAUGUCAUGAGGAGUAUUAGUGACGUCACUAAGAGAGUCUAUACUCUGAGAAUCAGCGAUGUCAAGACUACAGUCUAUACUCUGAGAAUCAGUGAUGGCAUGAGAAGUAUUAGUGAUGUCACUAAGAGAGUCUAUACUCUGAGAAUCAGCGAUGUCACGACUACAGUCUAUACUCUGAGAAUCAGCGAUGUCAAGACUACAGUCUGUACUCUGAGAAUCAGCAAUGUCACUACUACAGUCUAUACUCUGAGAAUCAGUGAUGUCACGACUACAGUCUGUACUCUGAGAAUCAGCGAUGUUAUGACUACAGUCUAUACUCUGAGAGUCAGUGAUGUCACGACUACAGUCUCUACUCUGAGAAUCAGUGAUGUCAUCAACACAGACUAUAGUAGGUUUAUAUGGAAGGUUCUGGAUGUUGUGAAUGAACCUCUCAACAGCUGUUCUAUUAAAAGCAUCACUGAAUCUCGUGUUUAGAAAUGUGUUGUAAGACUUUUCUAGGUCUGAAGUCCACCAGCUCAGGAACUCAGAUUUAAACGUCUCACAGAUGGUAUUACAGACACUCUGAUUAAUCUGCUCACUGAAUAAAGCUCUCAGUGACUUUUCA
rnacentral:lncRNA from 1 species